GGGCCCGCACAAGCGGUGGAGCAUGUGGUUUAAUUCGAUGAUACGCGAGGAACCUUACCAGGGCUUAAAUGUAGUGGGACAGGUCUAGAGAUAGACCCUUCUUCGGACUCAUUACAAGGUGCUGCAUGGUUGUCGUCAGCUCGUGCCGUGAGGUGUCAGGUUAAGUCCUAUAACGAGCGCAACCCCUAUCGUUAGUUGCCAGCGGGUAAUGCCGGGAACUCUAGCGAAACUGCCGGUGCAAACCGAGAGGAAGGUGGGGAUGACGUCAAAUCAUCACGGCCCUUACGUCCUGGGCUACACACGUGCUACAAUGGCCGGUACAGAGAGCAGCCACUACGCGAGUAGGAGCGAAUCUCUUAAAGCGUCUCUCAGUCCGGAUUGGAGUCUGCAACUCGACUCCAUGAAGUCGGAAUCGCUAGUAAUCG
rnacentral:rRNA from 1 species